AAUCCUCGCAAGGCUCGGGUCACCCGACGUUUCAUCGUCAUGGAAGAGCUAUAUAUGAAAACUGGGGCUCUCUGUCCUCUCCCACAACUGUACCAAGGGAAGCUAUGGAGAAGGAGCAAGAAAAGGAAGAAAAACCAGACUCUGGAAGGUGAGCAUCUGCCACUCACCCCUUUGUGCCCAGUUACACUGAACCCCCGCUCCUAGGGCUCAGCCCCACUCUCUCUAGGACAUGAGGACCUGAGCUCCUCCCUCAGGAAACAGCACUGCAUGGGAGGUUGGGGUCCUCCAGGAGGAAGAGGGCAACCUGGAGGUUUCCCAGAUUCUGGGCCACAGCAAAGCCCAGAGGGGCUGGAAAUGGGUGUCGCCCAACAGGGGUCCCAAGGCCUGGACUUGGGGCGGGACCUCCUGCUCCCAUUGUGGACAAGCUGUUCAACUCUGCUCACCUUCCUCUGUGAGGCCACGUGGUCCUUCCUCGCCCAGCAAUGUCAUGAACGAGGAGGCACUUUGGAAAAGACAAAGUGGCUCCCACCAUGAAUCCUGUAAUCACCGUGUGGGCAUGUGGCCUUGGACAGUGCUGUUUGGGGCUACUGAGUCCAAUCCCCUAAAGUCUCCCCUAAAGGGACAUUGUACCCAGCCUCCUGUAAGACACCUGGGCCCUGCCUUCUGCUGUGACCUGGUCUCCUGUUUCCAGUUUUCAGAGAGUUCCUGCAAGAUUUGGAAGAGGUUCAUGACCUGUUCUCCCUUCUGCAAAGCCACCUGGCAAGGCUCUCUGACCCAGGGGCUUUCACCAGCUCUUACGGCAAGCAGCCCCUGGACAGGUGCGCUGAGGACUGUCAGUUGGAGCCUGUCAGCCAUGCAGGGAGCCUGUGGAAGAUGCUUCUCCCGCCAUGGCCUCAUCAUCUGCCCAUGCUCCACCGACGGGGCCCUCUUGGCCUCCUGCUUCCACCCUGCCAGCAGGACCAAUGACCUCAAUUUCUGUUGGUUUACACUCCUCCCUGAGUACUUCCUGGCUAGCAGAGCCUUUCCUCCGCCUGGAUGGCUUUCACACCAGCCACUUGCUCUUCCCCCUUCCCCGCCAUGUCUCCGUUCUUCGGAGGCUUCUCCUUGGCCCCAGAGCAGCUGGACUCUCCUUUGA
rnacentral:lncRNA from 1 species